rnacentral:rRNA from 1 species
UACGGAGGGUGCAAGCGUUAAUCGGAAUUACUGGGCGUAAAGCGUGCGCAGGCGGUUAUGUAAGACAGUUGUGAAAUCCCCCGGGCUCAACCUGGGAACUGCGUUUGAAACUACAAGGCUAGAGUGUGGCAGAGGGGGGUGGAAUUCCACGUGUAGCAGUGAAAUGCGUAGAGAUGUGGAGGAACACCGAUGGCGAAGGCAGCCCCCUGGGUUAACACUGACGCUCAGGCACGAAAGCGUGGGGAGCAAACAGG